rnacentral:rRNA from 1 species
AUUGAACGCUGGCGGCAUGCCUUACACAUGCAAGUCGAACGGUAACAGGUCUUCGGAUGCUGACGAGUGGCGAACGGGUGAGUAAUACAUCGGAACGUGCCCGAUCGUGGGGGAUAACGAAGCGAAAGCUUUGCUAAUACCGCAUAAGAUCUAAGGAUGAAAGCAGGGGACCGCAAGGCCUUGCGCGAACGGAGCGGCCGAUGGCAGAUGAGGUAGUUGGUGGGAUAAAAGCUUACCAAGCCGACGAUCUGUAGCUGGUCUGAGAGGACGACCAGCCACACUGGGACUGAGACACGGCCCAGACUCCUACGGGAGGCAGCAGUGGGGAAUUUUGGACAAUGGGCGAAAGCCUGAUCCAGCCAUGCCGCGUGCAGGAUGAAGGCCUUCGGGUUGUAAACUGCUUUUGUACGGAACGAAAAGACUCUGGUUAAUACCUGGGGUCCAUGACGGUACCGUAAGAAUAAGCACCGGCUAACUACGUGCCAGCCGCCGCCGUAAAAC